UUCAUUAUUCAUCUUUUCUUCAUUCCAUCUUUACCUUAAUUCUAAUUCUCCAAGUAAUUCAAGAAAUUCUUCAAAACUUGAUUAUAAUAAUAAUCUUCCUUCAUCUAAGAAAUUGAAAAGUGGGGGUUAAGUGUAGUGAUGGGGCUGAAAUUAGGAAGAAGAAAGAAGAAGACAAUUAUGAUUUCAUUCUAAAUUCCAAUUCCUAAUCUUGAAGGUUGAAGCAUACAUGUUUUGUGUUCAUGCGGUCUUCUUGAGUUAUGAUUUUGGUUGUCGCGAAAGAGGUAGUUCCGGAAGAAGGAACUAGUUGUUGAUUUAAAGCUUGAAGUAUUAGAAGUAAGGAUUUUGCAAGACUUGGAGGUAUUUAGGUCAUUCAUGGAUGAAUGACAAUCUUGUGGUUUAGAGGCUUAGUCAUCCCUCUCCUUAUGGCUCUUGGUACAUUUUGUUUAGAUGGUCAUUCUAUUGUCAAACUUCUGUAAAUGGUCAAGUGUGAUUCCAUGAAUUUGCAAAACUUGUAUUUUGACUUAAAA